rnacentral:rRNA from 1 species
GGCCUAACACAUGCAAGUCGAGCGGUAGCACAGGGAGCUUGCUCCUGGGUGACGAGCGGCGGACGGGUGAGUAAUGUCUGGGAAACUGCCUGAUGGAGGGGGAUAACUACUGGAAACGGUAGCUAAUACCGCAUAACGUCUUCGGACCAAAGAGGGGGACCUUCGGGCCUCUUGCCAUCAGAUGUGCCCAGAUGGGAUUAGCUAGUAGGUGAGGUAAUGGCUCACCUAGGCGACGAUCCCUAGCUGGUCUGAGAGGAUGACCAGCCACACUGGAACUGAGACACGGUCCAGACUCCUACGGGAGGCAGCAGUGGGGAAUAUUGCACAAUGGGCGCAAGCCUGAUGCAGCCAUGCCGCGUGUAUGAAGAAGGCCUUAGGGUUGUAAAGUACUUUCAGCGAGGAGGAAGGCAUUGUGGUUAAUAACCGCAGUGAUUGACGUUACUCGCAGAA